CACUUGCUGAGGAAGCCUCAGCGCUGGACACGGACACGAGCCCAUGACACGUCAACAUUCGACAGGACAGAUCCCUGGACUUCAUGACCACAUGCUGAGGAAGCCUCAGCGCUGAACACGGACGUGAGCCCAUGACACGACAACAUUCGACAGGAGAGUUCCCUGGACUUCAUGACCACAUGCUGAGGAAGCCUCAGCGCUGGACACCGAUGCGAGCCCCUGACACCUCAGCGUUCGACAGGAGAGAUACUUGGACUCCAUGGCCACAUGCUAAGGAAGAUAGAAUGCUGGAAAACAACAGAGUAAGACCAUGGCUACAGCCUUCUUCCAGCACUCCACUGGAGACGGGUCAACAUCAGACAGGAGAGAUCCCUGGACUCCACGGCCACUUGCUAAGGAAGCCUCAGCGCUGGACACAGACGCGAGCCCAAGACACGUCAACAUUCGACAGGACAGAUCCUUGGACUUCAUGGCCACAUGCUGAGGAAGCCUCAGUGCUGGACAUGGACACGAGCCCAUGAUACCAUGCUCCUGGCUGCCUCUCCUUGACGCUCCGCUGGAGACGCUGCAGCAUCCCACGGGACAGUCCUACAGAGGA
rnacentral:lncRNA from 1 species